rnacentral:sRNA from 1 species
AUACAUGUAUAAAGUCCU